rnacentral:rRNA from 1 species
GGUUAAGCGACUAAGCGUACACGGUGGAUGCCCUGGCAGUCAGAGGCGAUGAAGGACGUGCUAAUCUGCGAUAAGCGUCGGUAAGGUGAUAUGAACCGUUAUAACCGGCGAUUUCCGAAUGGGGAAACCCAGUGUGAUUCGUCACACUAUCAUUAACUGAAUCCAUAGGUUAAUGAGGCGAACCGGGGGAACUGAAACAUCUAAGUACCCCGAGGAAAAGAAAUCAACCGAGAUUCCCCCAGUAGCGGCGAGCGAACGGGGAGCAGCCCAGAGCCUGAAUCAGUGUGUGUGUUAGUGGAAGCGUCUGGAAAGGCGCGCGAUACAGGGUGACAGCCCCGUACACAAAAAUGCACAUACUGUGAGCUCGAUGAGUAGGGCGGGACACGUGGUAUCCUGUCUGAAUAUGGGGGGACCAUCCUCCAAGGCUAAAUACUCCUGACUGACCGAUAGUGAACCAGUACCGUGAGGGAAAGGCGAAAAGAACCCCGGCGAGGGGAGUGAAAAAGAACCUGAAACCGUGUACGUACAAGCAGUGGGAGCACGCUUAGGCGUGUGACUGCGUACCUUUUGUAUAAUGGGUCAGCGACUUAUAUUCUGUAGCAAGGUUAACCGAAUAGGGGAGCCGAAGGGAAACCGAGUCUUAACUGGGCGUUAAGUUGCAGGGUAUAGACCCGAAACCCGGUGAUCUAGCCAUGGGCAGGUUGAAGGUUGGGUAACACUAACUGGAGGACCGAACCGACUAAUGUUGAAAAAUUAGCGGAUGACUUGUGGCUGGGGGUGAAAGGCCAAUCAAACCGGGAGAUAGCUGGUUCUCCCCGAAAGCUAUUUAGGUAGCGCCUCGUGAAUUCAUCUCCGGGGGUAGAGCACUGUUUCGGCAAGGGGGUCAUCCCGACUUACCAACCCGAUGCAAACUGCGAAUACCGGAGAAUGUUAUCACGGGAGACACACGGCGGGUGCUAACGUCCGUCGUGAAGAGGGAAACAACCCAGACCGCCAGCUAAGGUCCCAAAGUCAUGGUUAAGUGGGAAACGAUGUGGGAAGGCCCAGACAGCCAGGAUGUUGGCUUAGAAGCAGCCAUCAUUUAAAGAAAGCGUAAUAGCUCACUGGUCGAGUCGGCCUGCGCGGAAGAUGUAACGGGGCUAAACCAUGCACCGAAGCUGCGGCAGCGACGCUUAUGCGUUGUUGGGUAGGGGAGCGUUCUGUAAGCCUGUGAAGGUGUGCUGUGAGGCAUGCUGGAGGUAUCAGAAGUGCGAAUGCUGACAUAAGUAACGAUAAAGCGGGUGAAAAGCCCGCUCGCCGGAAGACCAAGGGUUCCUGUCCAACGUUAAUCGGGGCAGGGUGAGUCGACCCCUAAGGCGAGGCCGAAAGGCGUAGUCGAUGGGAAACAGGUUAAUAUUCCUGUACUUGGUGUUACUGCGAAGGGGGGACGGAGAAGGCUAUGUUGGCCGGGCGACGGUUGUCCCGGUUUAAGCGUGUAGGCUGGUUUUCCAGGCAAAUCCGGAAAAUCAAGGCUGAGGCGUGAUGACGAGGCACUACGGUGCUGAAGCAACAAAUGCCCUGCUUCCAGGAAAAGCCUCUAAGCAUCAGGUAACAUCAAAUCGUACCCCAAACCGACACAGGUGGUCAGGUAGAGAAUACCAAGGCGCUUGAGAGAACUCGGGUGAAGGAACUAGGCAAAAUGGUGCCGUAACUUCGGGAGAAGGCACGCUGAUAUGUAGGUGAAGUCCCUCGCGGAUGGAGCUGAAAUCAGUCGAAGAUACCAGCUGGCUGCAACUGUUUAUUAAAAACACAGCACUGUGCAAACACGAAAGUGGACGUAUACGGUGUGACGCCUGCCCGGUGCCGGAAGGUUAAUUGAUGGGGUCAGCGCAAGCGAAGCUCUUGAUCGAAGCCCCGGUAAACGGCGGCCGUAACUAUAACGGUCCUAAGGUAGCGAAAUUCCUUGUCGGGUAAGUUCCGACCUGCACGAAUGGCGUAAUGAUGGCCAGGCUGUCUCCACCCGAGACUCAGUGAAAUUGAACUCGCUGUGAAGAUGCAGUGUACCCGCGGCAAGACGGAAAGACCCCGUGAACCUUUACUAUAGCUUGACACUGAACAUUGAGCCUUGAUGUGUAGGAUAGGUGGGAGGCUUUGAAGUGUGGACGCCAGUCUGCAUGGAGCCGACCUUGAAAUACCACCCUUUAAUGUUUGAUGUUCUAACGUGGACCCGUAAUCCGGGUUGCGGACAGUGUCUGGUGGGUAGUUUGACUGGGGCGGUCUCCUCCUAAAGAGUAACGGAGGAGCACGAAGGUUGGCUAAUCCUGGUCGGACAUCAGGAGGUUAGUGCAAUGGCAUAAGCCAGCUUGACUGCGAGCGUGACGGCGCGAGCAGGUGCGAAAGCAGGUCAUAGUGAUCCGGUGGUUCUGAAUGGAAGGGCCAUCGCUCAACGGAUAAAAGGUACUCCGGGGAUAACAGGCUGAUACCGCCCAAGAGUUCAUAUCGACGGCGGUGUUUGGCACCUCGAUGUCGGCUCAUCACAUCCUGGGGCUGAAGUAGGUCCCAAGGGUAUGGCUGUUCGCCAUUUAAAGUGGUACGCGAGCUGGGUUUAGAACGUCGUGAGACAGUUCGGUCCCUAUCUGCCGUGGGCGCUGGAGAACUGAGGGGGGCUGCUCCUAGUACGAGAGGACCGGAGUGGACGCAUCACUGGUGUUCGGGUUGUCAUGCCAAUGGCACUGCCCGGUAGCUAAAUGCGGAAGAGAUAAGUGCUGAAAGCAUCUAAGCACGAAACUUGCCCCGAGAUGAGUUCUCCCUGACUCCUUGAGAGUCCUGAAGGAACGUUGAAGACGACGACGUUGAUAGGCCGGGUGUGUAAGCGCAGCGAUGCGUUGAGCUAACCGGUACUAAUGAACCGUGAGGCUUAACCUU